UACAGAGGUCCCAAGCGUUGUUCGGAUUCACUGGGCGUAAAGGGUGCGUAGGUGGUGGGGGUAAGUCGGAUGUGAAAGCUCGGAGCUCAACUCCGAAAUGGCAUUGGAAACUACCCUGCUAGAGGAUUGGAGGGGGGACUGGAAUACUUGGUGUAGCAGUGAAAUGCGUAGAUAUCGGGAGGAACACCAGUGGCGAAGGCGACUACCUGGCCUGUUCUUGACGCUGAGGCGCGAAAGCUAGGGGAGCAAACGGG
rnacentral:rRNA from 1 species